rnacentral:tRNA from 1 species
AGUGCGGUGGCGCAGCAGGUUAAAGCCCUGGUCUGUAGCACCAGCAUCCCAUAUGGGCACGGGUUCGAGUCCCAACUGCCCUA